rnacentral:tRNA from 1 species
ACUUUCUUAGUAUAAUUAGUACUGCCGACUUCCAAUCAGCAAGAUCCGUGUUACAAAUGGAAGAAAGUA